rnacentral:rRNA from 1 species
CCUACGGGAGGCUGCAGUGAGGAAUAUUGGUCAAUGGACGCAAGUCUGAACCAGCCAUGCCGCGUGAAGGACGAAGGCCUUUGGGUUGUAAACUUCUUUUAUUGGGGAAGCGGUACCCAAGGAAUCAGCACCGGCUAACUCCGUGCCAGCAGCCGCGGUAAUACGGAGGGUGCAAGCGUUAUCCGGAUUCACUGGGUUUAAAGGGUGUGUAGGCGGGUAUUUAAGUCAGUGGUGAAAUCUCCAGGCUCAACCUGGAAACUGCCAUUGAUACUAUUUAUCUUGAAUUCUGUUGAGGUGGGCGGAAUAUAUCAUGUAGCGGUGAAAUGCUUAGAGAUGAUAUAGAACACCGAUUGCGAAGGCAGCUCGCUAAACGUAUUGACGCUGAGGCACGAAAGCGUGGGGAUCAAACAGGAUUAGAUACCCUUGUAGUC